AUUGAGCGCUGGCGGCAUGCUUUACACAUGCAAGUCGAACGGUAACAGGCCGCAAGGUGCUGACGAGUGGCGAACGGGUGAGUAAUGCAUCGGAACGUGCCCAGUCGUGGGGGAUAACUACUCGAAAGAGUAGCUAAUACCGCAUACGAUCUAUGGAUGAAAGCGGGGGACCGUAAGGCCUCGCGCGAUUGGAGCGGCCGAUGUCAGAUUAGGCAGUUGGUGGGGUAAAGGCUCACCAAGCCAACGAUCUGUAGCUGGUCUGAGAGGACGACCAGCCACACUGGGGCUGAGACACGGCCCAGACUCCUACGGGAGGCAGCAGUGGGGAAUUUUGGACAAUGGGCGCAAGCCUGAUCCAGCAAUGCCGCGUGCAGGAAGAAGGCCUUCGGGUUGUAAACUGCUUUUGUACGGAACGAAACGGCUCUGGUUAAUACCCGGGGCUAAUGACGGUACCGUAAGAAUAAGCACCGGCUAACUACGUG
rnacentral:rRNA from 1 species